UAGGGAAUCUUCCGCAAUGGACGCAAGUCUGACGGAGCAACGCCGCGUGAGUGAAGAAGGAUCUCGGUUCGUAAAACUCUGUUGUUAGAGAAGAACAGCGCAUAGAGUAACUGUUAUGCGUGUGACGGUAUCUAACCAGAAAGCCACGGCUAACUACGUGCCAGCAGCCGCGGUAAUACGUAGGUGGCAAGCGUUGUCCGGAUUUAUUGGGCGUAAAGCGAGCGCAGGCGGUCAAUUAAGUCUGAUGUGAAAGCCCCCGGCUCAACCGGGGAGGGUCAUUGGAAACUGGUUGGCUUGAGUGCAGAAGAGGAGAGUGGAAUUCCAUGUGUAGCGGUGAAAUGCGUAGAUAUAUGGAGGAACACCAGGGGCGAAGGCGACUCUCUGGUCUGUAACUGACGCUGAGGCUCGAAAGCGUGGGUAGCAAACAGG
rnacentral:rRNA from 1 species